rnacentral:rRNA from 1 species
GCAGUAGCCACGGUAAUACGUAGGGUGCGAGCGUUGUCCGGAAUUAUUGGGCAUAAAGAGCUUGUAGGCGGUCUGUCGCGUCUGCUGUGAAAACCCGAGGCUCAACCUCGGGCCUGCAGUGGGUACGGGCAGACUAGAGUGCGGUAGGGGAGAACGGAACUCCUGGUGUAGCGGUGGAAUGCGCAGAUAUCAGGAAGAACACCGAUGGCGAAGGCAGUUCUCUGGGCCGUAACUGACGCUGAGAAGCGAAAGCGUGGGGAGCGAACAGGAUUAGAUACCCCGGUAGUCCCUGUCUCUUAUAC